rnacentral:rRNA from 1 species
AGGUGAACCUGCGGAAGGAUCAUUACCACACCAAAAAACACCCCACGUGAACGUACACUUUAUGAGGUUCGCGCUGCCUUCGUGGCAGCUAACCGAAGGCUUUGCAAGAAGCCGAUGUCUAUUUGAAUCCUUUUUAACCAACUACUGAUCAAAACUGCAUGCAGAAAUGCUUGCAAUUCAAUUGAAAUACAACUUUCAACAGUGGAUGUCUUGGCUUGCACACCGAUGAAGAACGCUGCGAACUGCGAUACGUAAUGCGAAUUGCAGAAUUCAGUGAGUCAUCAAAAUUUUGAACGCAUAUUGCACUUCCGGGUUAGUCCUGGGAGUAUGUUUGUAUCAGUGUCCGUGAACACAAGCUUGUUUCAUUUUUCAAUGGAGCAGACUGUGAGGGUCUUGCUUUUGCAAGUCCUUUUAAACGACGGUACCUGUGCGUCCUUGUGAGGUGCAUUAAAUAAAGGUAUGCCUGUGCUUGGAUCGAGAGUCUUGUGUGGUAGCACGCAGUAUUCAAAGAGAGAGCAAAUCGCGGUAGUUUUGCUUGUGCUUCGGUACGAGUAGACAUAUAUUGCUUUUUGUGAUUUCGGCGAGUCUGUUGUUUAAGCCCAGGACGCGUUUCGAGAGCUUGCAUGCUGGUGCAUUUCUUGGCGUACGGAGGCAAAUUGGGAAUUCAAUCCAAUUUGGACCUGAUAUCAAACAAGACUACCCGCUGAACUUAAGCAUAUCAAUAAGCGGAGAAAA